UCUGUCACAAUAGAAGAAAAUUCGCAAUGUCCUAAUGUUGUAUUUAUUUAAAUAAUGGGCAGUUUUAUGGGCUAAUAACAAUGAGCACUAUCGCGGUCCACUUCUGGGAGACUUCAUUCUUUUUGCUGAUCAUUUUUGCUGCUUUCCUCUCAAUCCGUGGUCUCUGGAGGGCCACCAGGAACUCGAGGCUAUCGUGUCAACGCAUGGAUUAAUACUACUUAUUAUGGAUUUUGCGGCUAUAAUCCUGGGUUGUAUUAUGUACCUGCUUCUAGUUGGAAUACUGAUAAUCAUAAACGAAGCGUUCUGCAAAUCUGUUUGUUUGAGGAACGCACGCCUCGCUGCUAGUCCUGAAAUGCCGGAUAUAGAACUAAAUGAAAGAAUACCAUCAAAAUCUAAACAUAAAAAUUAUCAAAGCCGUGGCAAAGGAGACGCAUAUGUUUUUAAUACAUAAAACGAACACUAGAUGGCGCUGUAUCAAAUCAACUAAGGAAUAGUUUCAUGGAUUUCGAAUAAAACAAUAUUU